AGCUAGUUGGUGAGGUAACGGCUCACCAAGGCGACGAUCGGUAGCCGAACUGAGAGGUUGAUCGGCCGCAUUGGGACUGAGACACGGCCCAGACUCCUACGGGAGGCAGCAGUGGGGGAUAUUGCACAAUGGGGGAAACCCUGAUGCAGCAACGCCGCGUGAGGGAAGAAGGUCUUCGGAUUGUAAACCUAAGUAGUCAGGGACGAAAGAAAUGACGGUACCUGAAGAGUAAGCUCCGGCUAACUAC
rnacentral:rRNA from 1 species